GAUGAGCGCUAGCGGGAGGCUUAACACAUGCAGGUCGAGGGGCAGCAUAGGGUAGCAAUACUCUGAUGGCGACCGGCAAACGGGUGAGUAACGCGUAUGCAACCUACCCUGUACAGGGGGAUAACCCGGAGAAAUUCGGACUAAUAUCCCGUAAUAAUAUCCGGAGGCAUCUUUGGAUAUUUAAAGUUUCGACGGUACGGGAUGGGCAUGCGUAACAUUAGCUGGUUGGUAAGGUAACGGCUUACCAAGGCUAUGAUGUUUAGGGGUCCUGAGAGGGUGGUCCCCCACACUGGUACUGAGACACGGACCAGACUCCUACGGGAGGCAGCAGUGAGGAAUAUUGGUCAAUGGGCGCAAGCCUGAACCAGCCAUCCCGCGUGCAGGAAGACGGCCCUAUGGGUUGUAAACUGCUUUUCCAGGGAGAGAAACUUGCGUACGCGUUGCGCAAUUGACGGUACCCUGGGAAUAAGCAUCGGCUAACUCCGUG
rnacentral:rRNA from 1 species